rnacentral:sRNA from 1 species
UGAUUGCUUCGACCUUGCUAUCCAGUGGU